ensembl:lncRNA
AAUAACAGUGGGUAGUUUAACUGCUCAGGACAAACAAGGGACUCAUGAAGAACUCUCACAAAACAUAAACACAGUCGCUGAUCAUCCAGCUGCAUGGUCUCUGCACGAUGAGGAAGCGGAGGUGGGCGGGGCCUCACCGCCAUUCAUGGGUGUGUCUGAAGACCUGGGAGGUGGUCCUUUAAUCCCCGUGACACAACAUAGAAAGGAUGAUCCGUGGUCAUGUGACAGCUCUGCGUCCUCCUCUGAAGACAGCGACGAUGAUGAUUCGAGGUGGAGGAAGAAAAAAAAGAAGAAGAAACUUAGGAAAAAGAAGAGCAAGAGAUCGAGUUCGUCAUCAUCGUCUUCCUCCAGUUCCUCGUCGGACAGUGACAGCAGUGAGGAAGAGAAGAAGAAGCGGAGGAGGAGGAGGAAAAGGAAAGAGAACGCUGUGACGACAGCGAUACCUGAGUCAGGCCUCGUGCUGGAAAUUGUGUUAACGCCACUAAAACAGCAAAACGACGAGCGAGAGAUGAAGAAAGCAAAAAAAGACAGCACUAGAGAGAAGAAAAAGAAGAAAGACAAGAAGAAGCGGAGGCAAAGAAAAAGAAGAAGAAGAACAAAAAGAAUAAAAAGAAAAAGAAGGAUUCCAGCUCGUCUUCCUCCUCCGACAGCUCGUCAUCCGAUAGUGAAGAUCAGGACAAGAAGAAGAAGAAGAAGAAGAAGAAGAAGAAAAAGAAGAAGAAGAAGAGAAUGAAGAAGGACUCAUCGUCUGACAGCUCCAGUGACGAUGAAAAGAAGAAGAAGAAGAAGAAGAAGAAAGACAAGAAAAGAAAGAAGAAAAGAAAGGAGAUGAAGAAAAAGAAAAAAUACUCGAGCUCCAGCUGCAGUUCUUCCUCGAGCGAGAGCGAUGACGAGAAACUGAGCCGGAAAUUAAAGAAAGAGGAACCGUGGGGCGAUGACGCUGCGAGAGACGAG